rnacentral:rRNA from 1 species
AACGAACGCUGGCGGCAUGCCUAACACAUGCAAGUCGAACGAGACCUUCGGGUCUAGUGGCGCACGGGUGCGUAACGCGUGGGAACCUGCCCUUAGGUUCGGAAUAACUCCCCGACAGGGGUGCUAAUACCGGAUAAUGUCUUCGGACCAAAGAUUUAUCGACUUUGGAUGGGCCCGCGUUGGAUUAGCUAGUUGGUAGGGUAAAAGCCUACCAAGGCGACGAUCCAUAGCUGGUCUGAGAGGAUGAUCAGCCACACUGGGACUGAGACACGGCCCAGACUCCUACGGGAGGCAGCAGUGGGGAAUAUUGGACAAUGGGCGAAAGCCUGAUCCAGCAAUGCCGCGUGAGUGAUGAAGGCCUUAGGGUUGUAAAGCUCUUUUACCCGGGACGAUAAUGACAGUACCGGGAGAAUAAGCUCCGGCUAACUCCGUG